AACGCACGAGACCUGCGGACCUGCGGAGGGAUCAUUACAGAGUUCAUGCCCUCUGGGCAGACCUCCCACCCGGUGUCAUCACCACGACCGUUGCUUUGGCGGGCGCGCGGCGCCCGCCAGAGGCCCCCAGACUCGAUAUGUGUGUCGUCUGAGUGCUAUACAAUCGUUAAAACUUUCAACAACGGAUCUCU
rnacentral:misc_RNA from 1 species